rnacentral:misc_RNA from 1 species
UACGGAGGGGGCUAGCGUUGUUCGGAAUUACUGGGCGUAAAGCGCGCGUAGGCGGCUUUCCAAGUCAGAGGUGAAAUCCCGGGGCUUAACCCCGGAACUGCCUUUGAAACUGGAUCGCUAGAAUAUCGGAGAGGUGAGUGGAAUUCCGAGUGUAGAGGUGAAAUUCGUAGAUAUUCGGAAGAACACCAGUGGCGAAGGCGACUCACUGGACGAUUAUUGACGCUGAGGCGCGAAAGCGUGGGGAGCAAACAGG